rnacentral:lncRNA from 1 species
UUAAUUUGUAUGAAUGUGUGUUUGCAGGUAUGAGUCAAAGUUCAUAGAGUCGAUUGUUAAAGAGAUCGCAGAUAAACUCAACUUCUCACUGCCUCACGCCCCUCCGUCCUCGUUACCACUGUCGGCGGCCCUCCGCCCACCUUCAUAUUUUCUUGGUCUUUUACGAGAGUGGAGGAGGUCUUUCUUUCAGACCCCCUCUCUCUUUUUAUUUUUUUUGUCUUCUUGUUAUGCUUUGUCUUCUUGUAGCAUACGAGAGUGGAGGAGGUCUUUCUUUCAGACCCCCUCUCUCUUUUUAUUUUUUUUGUCUUCUUGUUAUGCUUUGUCUUCUUGUUAUGCUGUGUCUUCUUAACUUAUUAAGAAGACAAAAAAAAUAAAAAGAGAGACGGAGGAUGUAGGGGUAUAGCAGAAGUGUGAAACAAUAGGAACUAAGCACGUGGAUAUCUGUCGGCUGAUGAGAACGAAGGCUGACAGCAUCUGGGACAGCUCACCAACUUUGUCAAAGCAUGGAUUGAUGAAUUAAUUAAAGGAUUGUACUUCAAUGAAUGCUUCUCUCUCUCUGUUUUUUUACUAUUUGUAUGUUUAGAUCCAUCCUUAUGACUGUUACUGAAAAUAAUCAAAAACUUUUUCACGAAUUUUCAGCUCAAAUGAGAUGAUGCAUAAUCAAAGUCUAAGUGAUCUUUUGACGGCUACAAGUAAGUGCAUGCUUAGGGUUCUUCUCAACUAUAUUCUUGCUAAAUUUUUAAAUUGUUUUUUAACACUACGAAAGAAUAACAAUACAAAAGAAUAUAAAAUAUUUCCAAGUAUGAAUCUUAAAACUGAAAAAACAAACUGUUAUAAUCAACGAACGUACCAUUGAUUCUAUAAAUGCCACGCACGCAAACCACAGUAGAAAAAAAACUAUGACAUGAUUUGCAAUCAAAGAUUAAUUAAUUUCCAAGUAUGAAUCUUAAAACUGAAAAAAAGUAUAUCAAUGAAAAAACAUGCUUUUUUAAUCAACAAACUUACCAUUGAUUUUAUAAAUGCCACGCAAACUACAGUAGAAAAAAAUUCAUAACAUAAGAUGUGCAAUCAAAGAUUAGUUAAUGUGUGUAUUUUCAUGGCUUAAUUUUAGAAACUUGUGUGUAUUUUCAAGAUUAGGAUUAUAAGUUAAUUUUCAAUGCUUGAAAAAGUGUGUAUUUUCGGGUGUCAUGAUUUUCUAACAUAGAAAUGAAAAUAUAUUGUUUGUGUUUAAUAAAACAAAUUAAAAAAUAUAUGAACCAACAAAUAAAAAAUAAUUAACGCUAAUUAAAUAUUAAAGUGAAAAGCUAAUAAUUCUAAGUAGAGUAAAAAUUAAAUACACAUGUAAAUAUUUAUCCCUGAUUGUCCUUUGUAUUUUAUAUAUUUUUUUUAUUAUAUAUUAAAAGUUGAUUCUAGCAGUUAAGGAUAAUUUUUUUUAAAAAAAAAUACAUUACAUAAAUAUAAUUUAUUUAUAUAAACUAUAAAAUGAAAAAAAAUAAAUUACAAUUAUCUCCUUAAAGCAGAUGUCAAUAUUAUAAAUAUAUUUUAAGGUAUCCUGAUUUUUUAACAUAGAAAUAAAAAAAUAUUAUUUACAUUUAAUAAAAUAAAUUUAAAAAAUAUAGAAACCAACAAAUCAAAAAAUAAUUAUUAAUGCUAAUUAAAUACUAAAAUGAAGAGCUAACAUUUCUAGCAAAGUAAAAGAUAAAUGAACAUGCAAACAUUUAACCCCGACUACUCUUUCUAUUUUCUAAUUUUUUAUUUAUUAUAUAUUAGAAGUUGAUUCUAGCAACUAAGGACAAUUUAUUUUUAUUUUUAUAAAUAUGUCACAUAAAUAUAAUUUAUUUAUAUAAAAUGAAAAAUGAAAAAAAUAAAUAUAAAUUACAAUAAUCUCUUUGAAGCAUUAUAAAAUUAAAAAAAUUAAUUUAAAAAAAUUAAUUACUAUUAAAAAAGGUUAACCAAACAAUUUUAAAAUAUAAUAGAUAAGAUAUUCAUUAAAAUUUAAAUAAAAACAUUAAUUAAAAGUAAAAAAAAAAGCUGAGGUCAGGCCACAUAUCUGGCUAGAACCUUAUAGCUCCACACACCUUUUUUUUUUUUGUUUUAACAGUGUCAUAUGCUCUAAUUAUUUUUUUAUAAAGGGAUGAUAGGUCGUUUUCCUCUAGAUCAGUUUCUGGUUACUUCUAGUAAUUAAAAUAUUAAAGUUUGAGUUGUGAAAUUUUAAAAACCUAUUUCUCAAUAUUUUUUUACCUGAAAAUAUCCUAAAAGCAUUUAAAAAUCAACUUUUAAUCUUAAAACAAUCUUUAAUCUCCUUAAAAAAUAAAAAUUAAACAAAUAAAAAACAUCAAACCUUUUUAUAAAAAACCUCAAGACCAGAACUUUUCCAAAAACAGCAAACCAAUUGACACUAAGAUAACUCUUUUUUGUGACUAAAAUGUUCACAUUCAGCUACUUUCUUUCUUUUUAAUUUUUUUUUUAGUGAUUUUCUCUAUCUUUUUUCAAUAUUCAGAAACUAAAAUAAAAACUAAAUUAAGUUUAAGAUCAAAAUUUAGAAUGCUAAAAUAACAAGGAUCAAACAAAGGGUUAAUUAAAAACUAUAAAGAACAUAUAUAAGUUUUCCAUUUCAAUAUCUAAAUGGGAUUUGUUUUUUUAAAAUUUAUUAUUAAAAAUUUAUUUUUAAUAUCAUUAAAUAAUAUUCAAAAUUAUCAAAACAAAUUUAACUUUUUAAAAAUUUAAUGUUUUUUAAAAAUGCAUAAAACAAACAAGAUGAGCAUAAUUUACCACAUCACUGUUCAUAUGGGCUCAACUUUGUUGGGCCAUGAGCUUAGUAGUAUAUAAUUUCUUCCAACAGUAACGACAUCUGGUAAGAAGUUCUAAGCGCAGUUGAAGCGCGUGAUAUAUGUCCUCUCGAGUAACCCAAGGUGGAGGAGCAAAGGUAUUAGUUUUUGCUCAUUGCUCGUUCGCCAAUAUUCGUGCACUUGCAGCAUGUUUGAGACCAAUUUUCUAUUAAAAUUAAUUUCAUUUCUGGUAUUUAAAUUGCAUUCAAUGAGUUAAAAUCAUGUAUUUAAAAGAGAUAUAUUAUCAUUGAAUUUAUUUUAUUCUAUUUUCUACAAUACAUUUAUAGUAUUAUUAAUUAUCAAUACUCUUUCAUUUAUAGUAAUUAAAUUUCAACAGGUUUUAUCGCAAGAUAUUGAAGGCAAUGCAAGAAGCUUGUUUACGCAUACAAAAUCCAUUCAUAGUUUCUGAUAGAGAAAAAUCUGUCAUCAUGUAUGGAUAAGCCAUCAAAGAAGCUAUAAACAGUAUCAUCAUCUCGGAAAGAUACACAGAUACCAACCACCUGUUAUCAAGUCCAACCUAUAGAAUCAUUUUCCUUAAAAACGAGAAACACAAGAAAUCUGAUAAAAAAAUCCAAAUUUUCACAUCAAGAAAUAUGAUAUGUGUGCGUGAGGAAAAGAAAUAAAACCAAGAAAACUAAUGAUCUGAGUGUAGAAACUUUUGAAACAAUCAUUUCAUUUUACUGAUAUUUUCUUCAUUGUUAAGAAGUGCUCGUGGGGAUUGCUCUCUUUGAUAUUCGUAACUUCAAUGAUACAAGUUAUUCAUAUCAAGUCUUCGAGAUUUCUUACAAUCUCAUGAAGUUUCAAGGUGACAAGGCAGCUCUUCUCCCGUCUUCUUGUUUUUAACUAAAACUCAAAACUCCACUUAUACUGUAUGGAAAAAGCAUACAAAACCUUCAAAAUAAAAUAAAUAAGCAGAAAAGGCAAGAAAACAACUGGAAGACUCUUGGGUUUUCGAGCUGCUGGCUAGAACAAGCAAAUUGUUGAUUACAGGCCAUGCAUGUCAUGAUUUUACACUUGGGCUUCUGAUAUUUCAGGGGCUUCACAACCUCCCUUGUAAAGUCAGGGUCAUCCCUUCCAAAGUGACCAUAAGCAGCUUGCUGUCCCUCCUCCUUCAUCCCUUGCUACUUGUCAAGUCCUCCGAAUUACUUUAAGAUGCCACAGCAAACAAAGAAGAGAAGGGAUGGUCCAUAAUUGAUUGCUUCCUUCUCAUUUGAAACACAAAGUCCGGAUCAAAGCUUAGAUUCAACUUCAAAAGAAGAAGAAGAAGAAGAAAUCUUCAGUUUCAACAACGCAGAUUAUGAACACUAAGCAAAAUUGGCAAAAGCCUUGGCAAAAUUCAAGAGCAGGAACAGCAGCACUGCUCUGGCUCUCUGAAACUUGGGGGCAACAUGCCAAAUACACUUAACCACUUUCAAAAUCUUUGUCCCGCCACUCCUCGGUGCAUAAUCCAUCUGUCUUUUGUUUCUCCAGAUUCUCCGAAACUUGGUAAAAAAAAGUUUGAUCAUGUGCUUGAUUUGAAGCGGAAUAUUGGUGAACCUUCAAGCUGCCCGCGGUGGCAAUGUUUCUCCGGUGACUGUAUUGUUUCUGUUCUUGAUGGAAUUGUCACUGCUCGGGUUUAGGAGCUGGAAACAGGAGAGAUUCGCCAACUGAAAUUGGCGGGAAAAGACGUCAUUAACAAACUAAAUCGAAAAAGAGAGAAAUGCGGUGAGCGUGGAUCGAACACGCGACCUUCAGAUCUUCAGUCUGACGCUCUCCCAACUGAGCUAUCCCCGCCUGUUUGUUGCUUCUUUUCUGUUAAGCAUUAUGAAGCAAUAAACUUAUUCUAUAACACAUGCAUUUUGCGAGGACAUCUGUGCAUCAUUUCUGCUUUCCGUGCUUUUGCGGUUGUUACUGGGAAAGAAUUUCACAUUAGAUUGAAUUUUCUGGUAAGUUGAAAUCUCAACUUGGCUUAUUAUUGUGGCAAUUACCAGUUAUAUAUUUCAUGUUUAAGAAAUUAGGAUGCCUGUGAUGAAGUUUACGUUAGUUUUGGGGCUGGAAUUUAUUGUAGGAAACCUGUGAUGGAAAUGAAGCAAAUCCUAGACGCUGGUGUGUGUAGCAGCUGCACUUCUUAUACCUGAAGCCAUUGGCUUUCACAAAGAAAAGAGACGUCAUGAUGAUAGAAAACCAUGGAAACACUACAAUAUUUAAUAAUUUUAUUGACAUAAUUUUAUUUUUAUUAAUGUGAGAUUAGCACUUUGUCCGCGAAAAUUUCACCUACUAAUUCAUCGACAAAAUGUGUCUACAAGUAAUUUCAUUAUGUGUCGUUAAUUUUUUUGGUAAAAAAAAUUAAAAACUGAUGGUUUUAUAAAUGAAAAAUGCACGAAAAAAAAACAAUUCUUGCUGGAAAUACACGGAUGAAAUAAAUCUCUUAGGAUAUUUUAUAAAACAUUUCUAGGAAACUGCUUUUUUGUUUUCUUUCCAGUUUGCUUACAAGCCUUAACUUCAAUGGUCGUAAUGGUCGUGGUGCUAGACUGCUAGUAAUCUCAUUACUGAAACCUAACUCUGCCUUUAUUUCAUUACUGAAACUAUAAUCACUAACAACAUGUGUCUCUUUCAAAAAAAGAUAAAAAAAAGAUAACGUGUUCUGCAAAAGCCAAUUGAAGUAGGGAUGAGCUAGUGUAUCAAUUACUAUCCAUUCUUUAGGCAUCUUCCAAACACAUCCAUAGAAUUCUUCGUGCUCGCUUCAUCAUCUCGAAAAAUAAAGUUUUAAGCCAAGAUUGAAUUUUUAAAAUUUAGAGUGAGUAGUUACCUAUUAGAUAAAAAAGAAAAGGGAUUAAAAUGAACUUUUCAAAAAAAAAUUCAAAGUCAUUACCUAUGUAUUUUACAUGUUUUUUUUACUUUUGUCACCUGUCUCUCAAUUCCACUCUCUUCAAAAAUAAAAUAAAAUAUGCAAUUGGAUGUUAACUGAUGCUAAAAAAUAAAUUCAAUAACCAAUUUUGUUUUUUUUAAUCACCGUUGAAAUCUACAGUGGCAAUGAAUAUAAAAAGUAACUGUUGAUCUAGGUUUUGAUUUUCCGCUUGAUGGACUACAGGCCCUGCUUCUUCAGAAGAAACCCAAUUCUAAAUCAAUAUUAAUCGCAUCGGAAAAUCCCAUCCUUCUACUUUCGGCGUUUCUUAUUCACCAUGGCAUCCAGUCCAAUGGGAUUUUAAAACUCAAUUUUCAUUUUCACCUGCAAAACUUAAAAAAAAAAUAUCAUAAAACCUCAUAAAGUCUAUUUUCAAACAAAAACACCAUUUAAUCAUUUAAAACUCUAAAAUCCAUGAUCAGAAAUAACUUUAUAAAAAUUAAAUUGAAAUAAAUUACAAAAUUAAUUACUAAUUAGAGAAUGAAAUUCAAAAAACAAACAAAACCAAGAAGAAUGAUUCUUUUUUUAAAAUAAAACAAAUCACGUUCAGAUGUACACAAUUAGCACUAUCAAAAUUCAAAACAGGAGACACAUAAAAAAAAAAAGCACUUUGGUCAAUAUUGAUGGCUGGGUAAACAUACGUCUCAAAUUUGGGAACCUGAACCGUUGCAUUCUUUCUUCCCUUCCAGCCUCCAGGUACCCUGCCGUUUCACUCCAUUCCCACCGGAAACUUCUAUCUUUCUCAUAUUCCAGUUUAGUUUCGGCAUUUUUUAUUCACCAAUCAGUCCAACAGGUUUGUUCUCACUUAUCAAUCUGUUGAUGCUUCUCCUCUCUAGAAAAGAUUUUUAAUUGACAAACUUAUCAUUUAUCUAAUUAUAUGGUACAUAAUUUUUUUGAUUUACAUUUAAGAUUUUUUUUAUGUACAAAAUAUAUUGAAAAAUUCUAUAUGUUUAAUUUUUUUCUAUUAUGUAUGGAUAUUUUCAAUUUGAUUUUAAUUUCUAUAAAACAAAUAAAAAUUAUUAAUUAAAAAAAUCAAAAUAAAAAAAAUAAAACUAAACACUGGUGAACUUGAUAAGUCAAGCUAUGUGCCUGACACAUUAAGAAAAGACUCACGCGUAAAUGAAGAAAAGACUCACGCGUGGACCGGAAAGGUCAGGGACGCAUGAGUGUGGGCUCUCUUUUCUACAAAACGACGCUUUGUUGAUGGUGCUGCAGCAGCAAGAGAGGCAUAUAACCAAGGAGAAGUGGGGUGCUGACUGGUUGGUUGGUCAUUGACAGCUGGAGUUCAUUAUUUUGAUCCAUCACCAAAAAGAUUUUCGUCGGUGAAAAUGCAAAUGGAGAAGUUUUUAUUUUCGUAUCUGUCAUUCUAUGAUUAUGUCUUUUGAUAAAACAAAGUUUAAGGGCUACCUAAAAAAACAGAACAUGUGCAUCUAGAUUUGGUGGAUAGGUCACUCUAUUUAUUUUACGAUUUAAAAAUAUUUAUUUUAUUUAUUUAAUUUUAAAUUAAUAUUUUUUUAAUGUUUUUAGAUCAUUUUGAUAAACUGAUAUUAAAAAUAUUUCUUUUUUAAAUAAAUAUUUCCAAAUAAAAAAUAUUAUACUCACACUCUUGAACAUAAAAAAAAACCUACUCACAUGUUUAAAUUUUUUUUAAUAAAAAAAUGAAUACACAACGCUUUAUCUUUCCGUGUAAAUUCCACCCCCUCGAGUUAUUAAAAGUUGGAGUUUGAUUUUUAGGAUUUUAAAAGUUAAUUUUCAAUUUAUUUUUAUUUAAAAAACUUUAAAAAUAUUAUAGAAAAUUUUAAAAGAAAAAUAUUAUUUAAAGUGUAUUUGAGAUUGUCGUUAUAGUUGUUUUUAAAGUGUUUUUUAUUCAAAAAUAUAUCAAAAUAAUAUUUUUUUUAUUUUUUAAAAAUUAUUUUUAGUAUCAACGAAACAAAAUAAUCUAAAAAUAUUAUAAAAUAUUAAUUUAAAAUAAAAAAAUUUAAAUUUUGUCAAAAAUAUUUUUAGAACAGAAAAAUAAAUAAGGCUUUAAUCAUUUAAAACUCCAGAAAAUCCACGAUCAACAAAAUUAAUUCCUAAUAAGGGAAUGGCAUUCAAAAAAAUCAAAAAACAAACAUGAAGAAUGAUUUUUUUUUUAUUUUUUUUUUAAAAAAACAAAGCACGUUCAGAUGCACACACUUAGCACAAUCAAAAUUAGUGAACCAUACGUGUCAAAUUUGGCAACCUGAACAAUUUGUAUUCUUUCCUCCCUUCCGGCCUCCAGGUACCCUGAAAAUCCUCCCAACGUUGCCGUUUCACCUAUUCCCAUCGGAAACUUCCCUCUUUCUCAUAUUCCAGUUUAGUUUCGGCAUUUUUUAUUCACCAACCAGUCCAAUGGAUUUGUUCUCACUUAUCAAUCUGUUGAUGCUUCUCCUCUCCAGAAAGGAUAACGAUGUUUUCUUGAGUUUUAGCCACCACGACAUUGGCAAGAAUUUUGGCGAUCAUCUCUACAAGGACCUCAAUUCUGCUGGGAUUCGCACUCUUAGAGAUGAUGGUGGAAUCUACGCAGGACAAAAGUCUGAUAUCAAGAAAGCGUUACAGGAAUCCAGGAUAUCGGUUGUUGUGUUCUCUAAAGGCUAUGCUUCUUCAACAAAGUGCCUCGACCAGCUUGUGCACAUCAUGGAUGCCAGGAAUAAAACUAGGCUCCUUGUGCUUCCCGUUUUUUACAACGUUGAUCCGUCGGAGGUCAGUGAACAGAAAGGGUUGUUUGAAGAAGCAUUUGCUAAACACGAAAAAAGCUUCCAUAAGGAAAUGGCUAGAGUGGAAAGUUGGAGGGCCGCUCUUAAAGAAGCUGCAGACCUGGCAGGAAUGGUGCUGCAGCAAGACAGGUAUACAAGUAAUUGAAUAAUUGUUUUACCUUUUCAGAUCUUUGCCUUCCAGUUUUUUUCUGGAUAAUUUAACCUAGCAAUCAUCUAGAAAGGAAACACGAAUCUUAUCGAUUUAAAAUGGGUCAGUCUUAGCCUUUCAAUACCAGAUUUGAUUUGUUCUUGGUUCCAAAGGUUGCGCUGCACUUUGUUGUUGUGUUUAUUGAUUGUCAAGGAGUAAUCCCUAGGACUGAUCAUGCAUAUAAAAGAAAAAUAGGGACCACAAUGUAGAAAAAGCUCCCCUUGAACGCUACCAAAAAAAAGCAACUUUUUUAAUUUUUUUUUGUGUCAAUCUAAUCCUUUGUCUUUGAUUUUGUUUAAUUCAACCUUAUAAAUAAUGGUAUUUCGUAAUAGCAAUAUGUAAUAGCAAUAUAUAUAUAUAUAUAUUAAAAAACAAUUUUUCAUAGUGCAUACAAUAUAUAUAUAUAUAUAUUAAAAAACAAUUUUUCAUAGUGCAUACACGAAAGCAUACAUAAAAAACAAAUUAUAAAAUAAAAAAACUAUGCAACACAACCCUAUAAAUAAUUAUAUUUAGUAAUAGCAAUAUGUAAACAUGUAAAAUAAAAAACUAUGCAACACGACCCUAUAAACAAAACAAAACAAAUCCUAAAACAAAUUUUUUUUUACCAAAGAAAUAUAAUAAUAUAAAAAAGGGAAAAUUAUGAAAUUAAACACAAUUUUUUUUUUGUCUGUUUAAUAAAUAAUAUAGAAAAUUGAACAUGAACGAAGACUACGGCCGAACAUAUCAAACUUGGGCCGAGCACAUGAACGAAGACACUUUCUAAACAGAUUAAAAAACAAAACCCAACCUUUGGCCUUUCUUCUCUCUUUUUUCUUCCAACAAAGAAUCAAGUGAGAUCUGCAUCUCUUCCAACACAAAAAUCUUUGUUUCUUUCGACAUAUUUCUCUUCGUCAAACCGAUGGCUUUCAACCCAGUGACCCAAAUCUUAAUUCUUCUCUCGUUGAUGCCUAGUACUUACGAUGUGUUCUUGAGUUUCCGAGGCGAAGACACUCGCAGGAACUUCACCGACCACCUGUACAAAGCGUUAUCUAGAGAAGGGAUUCCCACUUUCAGAGACGACGAUGGAAUACGGAGAGGAGAGAACAUUGAGUCAGAAAUCAAUAAAGCAAUUCAAGAAACAAAACUAUCCAUUAUUGUGUUUUCUAAAAAGUACGCUUCUUCGAGAUGGUGUCUUGACGAGCUAGCGAUGAUCAUGGAACGUAGAACUGUUGGGCACAUAGUGUUUCCAGUUUUCUACGAUGUUGAUCCAUCUGAGGUGGGGACCCAAACAGGGAGGUAUGGUGAAGAGUUUGCUAAGCAUGAGAUACAUUUCAAGGACCGGGUGGAGGGGUGGAGGAAGGCUCUUAAAGAAGUUGCAUACAUGGAAGGAAUGGUCUUAGAAGACGGGUACUAACUUCUUUUUUUCUUCGAAAUUUAUUACAUCGAUAGCUUAUAUUUUUGAAUCAGCUAAGCAUUUAGGAAUACUUAAUUUGACCUUGAUCAUUCCAUACUCGAACAUCACGGUUGAGCCACGUAGCUAGGGGGUUGUUUUUUCUUGCUAGUUAACAUGUGAGAAGACAUUCAAUUACCUGGAACCGUGAUUGCCAACUAUCCUAGGGGAAAAUAGUUUGACGAGAAUGAAAGAAAUCUUGCAACUUACUAGAGAAAGAUGACAUUGAAGGGAUGUUGAUGGACAUUUCAAAAAUUAUUUUUGAAAGUAAAUUAAAUUCCAGAAUCUUUGCAAGGAAAUCCAAACUUUGAUUGCUCAGGAUUUAUAAUUCUGGUGUUAAAAAUAACUGUAAAGUGCACCUUCGUCAGGGCUGGCGUCAAGUUCCUUUCAUAGGAGAUGAGAUACUGCAUUGGGAUGAAUAAUUGUUUUUGGUUCUUUGUGAUAGCUACAAGACGCUAUCAUUUAGAGAGGAAACAAGAAUCUUAUCGAUUUAAAAUAUGCAAGCCUUAGCAAUUGUGAGCACCUAUCUAUGCCAGAUUUUUACAAAGGCUAUAAAUUAACCUUGAGAGAUUGAAUCUUCACUUUUGUUGUACAAGUUUAAUAUGGUCAAGUUUACUUCACGGAUUCAAUAUAGAGACAAGCUUAUUGAUUUGGAUCCAAGAAACUGCACAUGCCUUAUCUGUCUUCCGAGUAGAUUUUUUUAAAGAUUUCCUGUCUCUUAACCUCUCUAAUUGUUCAAAUGUCAAUAAAAAGCAUGCAGUUGGUACCAACAAAUUGAAAACGAUGCCCUGAACUUCAAUUGUCAUAGUGCUAGACUGCUAGUAAUCUCAGUUAACUGUCUGUUUUAUGUCCAGAACCUGUGGCUGUGUUUGAUAUGACGUAUAGGGAAAGGAUGUUUUGAUAACCCUUUUCAUUUCGUGAAGCAAAAACAUUGAAGCCAUUCUAGAAAUGCCAAAAAAUAAACGAAAGAAACCUAACGCUGCCUUGAUUUCAUUACUGAAGCUACAAUCACAAACGUUUCUGUGUCUUUUUCAAAGAAAGAAAAAACAAAGGUGUUCUGCAUAAGUGCACUGGUCGAUGUAGAACUCUCCCUCCUAAACCAAUUGAAGUAGCGAUGAGCCUGUGAAUCAAUUGCUACUGUAGUAUUGUCUCUCGAUUAGUUAGGCAUCUUCGAAACACAUGCAUGGAAUUCUUCUUGCUUGCUUCAGCAUCUCUAAAUUAGUGAUAAUUGUAUGACAUGUUUACCCAAACUUAACUAUCAUGGCCAUUCAACUUACAAGUUAUUUGCACAGUAACGGGAUUUGAGGAUGAUAAACAAGGGCUGGUUCGUUAAUUAGCCUCAAUGCAAAUGUAAUUAUUUUUGUUUUUCAUGUUCUUUAAAAAAAGACCGACCAAGCAGAUUUCAAUCCUACUCUUAGGAUUGCAUUGAAAAUUUCUGAUGACAUUUUAUAUUUAUCAUAUAUAGUCUGGUUAAGUUGCAUAAAGACAGCCAUAAAAACUAGAACAAACUGAAACAACAGCUAAAAAAUGACUUUCAAGCUACAUAGCACCUUUAAUACAUCAGCUUAUCUGUGCUUGUAGUAAAAAAAACGAGCUUAUUCAACUUGUAGUAAAAAAAACGAGCUUAUUCAAUUAGUUAGUUGUGCUUAAUUUCAGAAACUGUCAUUUUUGUACUUCUUAGUAAAAAAAAGAUGAUUCAUGGGAACGUAGGCCAUCCUUUUAUCACUCGGUCUAUCUACAUAGCAUUCUCUUAGGAACUUAAUUUGUUCACAAUUUGAUUUGUUCUUGGUUCGAGCUGCCUUAAUCAUCAUGUUAAGAGGUUAUGCAGCACUACGUUGUUGUGUUUAUUGAUUGUCAAGGAGUUUUCCUUAGGACUCAUGCAUGUUGACAAAUGACACACCUUAGUGCAAUAGAGCCGUUUUGUUCCAUGUUUAUUGAAAAAUAAUUCAUCGACUUCUGAAAAAAUAGUAGAAAAAUAAUGUUAAGAUCUACAAGUCUUUGCAAACAUGGACCUCUCUCAAGGACUCAAGUCCCUUUUCUGAGUAGAUGAGGUAUUUACAUAGGGAUGGAUAUCUCUGAGAUGUUUGCCUUGUAAUUAAAUUUUGAUCGGAACCCUUUUUGAGCCUGAACUUGAGCUAUCAUCUAGCAAGGUUAAGCUAGUCUGGGAAGGAGACCAGAAUCUUGGCAGUUUAAAAAGUUCAACCUUAGCAAUUCUAGAGCUGCAGAGGAUAGAUGAAACCUUGAGACGUGGAUUUUGUACAAGUUAAUUUGGUGGUGUUUCAUAAUUUGUCAAUUCAGCAUCCACCCAUUUGCAUCGAUGUAUUCCAAGCUGAAUUUUUUUGUAGUAUGUCUCUUCUUCUUCUUCUUGUAUGUUGAUCUGAUGAGGAAUUAGCAAAUUAAUCCAUGAUUGAAUUUGUAUGAAUGUGUGUUUGCAGGUAUGAGUCAAAGUUCAUAGAGUCGAUUGUUAAAGAGAUCGCAGAUAAACUCAACUUCUCACUGCCUCACGUCCCUCCGUCCUCGUUUCCACUGUCGGCGGCCCUCCGCCCACCUUCAUAUUUUCUUGGUCUUUUACGAGAGUGGAGGAGGUCUGUCUUUCAGACCCCCUCUCUCUUUUUAUUUUUUUUGUCUUCUCACUAAACACUAUUGGUAUCUAAAGAGAGAGUGGGGCGGCGAGUAAAGCAGAAGUGUCGGGUGAUGAGAACAAAAGAAUGGUCCCACAGCC